ensembl:snRNA U7 U7 small nuclear RNA
CAGUGUUAUAGCUCUUUUAGAAUUUGUCUAGCAGGUUUUCCAGGUUGCAGGAAACCUCU